UAUUGCACAAUGGGCGCAAGCCUGAUGCAGCCAUGCCGCGUGUAUGAAGAAGGCCUUCGGGUUGUAAAGUACUUUCAGUUGUGAGGAAGGGUGUGUAGUUAAUAGCUGCACAUCUUGACGUUAGCAACAGAAGAAGCACCGGCUAACUCCGUGCCAGCAGCCGCGGUAAUACGGAGGGUGCGAGCGUUAAUCGGAAUUACUGGGCGUAAAGCGCAUGCAGGUGGUUCAUUAAGUCAGAUGUGAAAGCCCGGGGCUCAACCUCGGAACUGCAUUUGAAACUGGUGAACUAGAGUACUGUAGAGGGGGGGUAGAAUUUCAGGUGUAGCGGUGAAAUGCGUAGAGAUCUGAAGGAAUACCAGUGGCGAAGGCGGCCCCCUGGACAGAUACUGACACUCAGAUGCGAAA
rnacentral:rRNA from 1 species